rnacentral:rRNA from 1 species
GUGAGGAAUUUUGCGCAAUGGGGGCAACCCUGACGCAGCGACGCCGCGUGGAGGACGAAGUCUUUCGGGAUGUAAACUCCUGUCAGUGGGGACGAUAAUGACGGUACCCACAGAGGAAGCACCGGCUAACUCCGUGCCAGCAGCCGCGGUAAGACGGAGGGGGCACGCGCUGUUCGGAAUUACUGGGCGUAAAGCGGAUGUAGGCGGCAAGUUAAGUUCAAUGUUAAAGCCCACGGCUCAACCGAGGAGAUGCAUUGAAUACUGGCUAGCUAGAGGGUGUUAGAGGAAGGCGGAAUUCCCAGUGUAGCGGUGAAAUGCGUAGAUAUUGGGAGGAACAUCGGUAGCGAGAGCGGUCUUCUGGGACAUACCUGACGCUGAGGUACGAAAGAGUGGGGAGCAAAAGGGAUUAGAUACACGGGUAGUCC